AUGGAGCAAUUGGAGAAGAGGGUGGAUGCUGCUGAACAACAAAUCAAAGAGCUGCGUGAAGAUCUAAAUAGGAGAUUUGACCAGCUGGUUGAGAUGAUAAGAAAGGGUGUCCCCCCUGCUACCAAUGAAGGAGAUUCAUCUAAAGAAGAGGAAGAUGUUCAUCAAGGAAGAAGGAGAGGUAAUCUUGGAGCAAGACCGUCACGACAACAUGUUGUUCAACGUGCUUCAAGAAGGCCAAUUUAUGUUGAGGCUUCUGAAGGUGAAGAAUAUGAUGAUGCCCUUGAAGAACCAAAUCUCUACGCAUAUCGGAGAGCACCCAACCCUACAUAUGCAAGAGAUACAUACAAGGUGAAAGCUGAGAUCCCAAGUUUUAAUGGAAAUGUUGACAUUGAAGGGUGCCUGGAUUGGUUAUAUGAAGUGGAGACUUUCUUUGAGGUCAUGGAGGUUCCGGAAGAUCGUAGAGUUCCUUUGGUCGCAUACAAGCUGAAAGGAGGAGCCGGUGCAUGGUGGCAUCGCGUUCAAGAGGAGCGCAGGCUGGGAGGAGAACCUCGUGUUAGAACUUGGCGACAAAUGAAAGGCCUCUUGAAAGGGAGAUUUUGCCCACUGAUUAUGACCAGAUCCUGUUUAUCCAAUUUCAAAAUUGUGCUCAAGGAAAUAGGACUGUUUCAGAUUACACAGAGGAGUUUCUAA
rnacentral:rRNA from 1 species